CUGCACGAUCACUACCCCGGGCUUCUCUGAAAAAUCAAUGACGAUGAAAGCCCCAAUGCUCGUGCUAAAGCGACGCCGUCCAGUGUUGCAGUCCAGCCCUUUCUCUGUCUCCACGGCUGAGCUGUGUCAAAUCGACGCCAACAUCU